CGUGGGGUAGUUUAAUAUAAAACAAAGGAUUGCAAAUCCUUAAAUGCUAAUAGCUCUCAUGU
rnacentral:tRNA from 1 species